GCAGAUGGAAAUGAUUUAUCAACUGCUAUCGGCAAGAAAGAUGUAGAUUGGAGAGAAAGAUGGCUUUUCAACACAUUCUCUUUUCUAAAAAAGGGUUAUUGAUGUCAUCGAGGCAAACACAGAUGAUUUCGGACCUUUGAGUCUUGAUUCAUCUUGAAAAAAACCUCUUAGCUUCUUGAAAAUUUACCGAGCAAAAACAUGUGAUCAAUAAUAAUUCCAGUCACGCUGAGAACUGAUGCGCCUGAAAAUUAGCGAGGACGAAAUGAGAGAUAAAAGGUGUGAAACUCGAUUUAGUGAAAAACGAUAAC